ACACAGCGAGAGAGGGAACACCAGCAGGGGGAGUGGGAGGGGGAGAAGCAGGCUUCCCGCGGAGCAGGGAGCCCGAUGCGGGGCUCAAUCCCAAGACCCUGGGAUCAUGACCUGAGCCGAAGGCAGACGCUUAACGACUGUGCCACCCAGGUGCCCCAGACCUAUUUUCUUCUAUGUAAGAAAAAAGCACAAGAAUUUUCAACACGGGUCAUCUACUCUCUGAAAUGAGUUCCAGCAGCAUAUCCUAAAGCAAAAUACCAUGGAAAUAUAUGGAGGCAUGGGGCCCAAUACAGAGCUUAAACUCAUGACCCUGAGAUCAUGACCUGAGCUGAGAUCAAGAGUCUUAACCAGACUGAGCCAACCAUGUGCCCCAGUUCAUCUCUUUUAAAUAAAGAUAUUUAAUCCUAC